AUGGCAACCAGUAUGUGGCCCAGGAUCUGGAGAGGCAUGCAGGUCAUGAGGUCAGCCUUCAGCUGACAGCCGGCAAAAUGUCAGUGGCUCCAUCAAUAGAGGCACAGGGGAAUGAUCUGCCAGCAAACGCAUCAAGCACAGAGGUCUUUCCGAGUCAGCCCUUCAGAUGACAGCAUCACCCGGCCGGUGUCUUUGUGUGAUCUGUGACAUCCUGAGCAGAGGGACAUUCUUGGAUUCCCAGGAGAAGAGAGGCAAAUAGUGUGCCUCUAAAGUGCGGUAUUAUCAAAGUGGGUUUCUCCUGGCUUGAAAAGGGAGAGAAGACUUCUCACUCUGAAUGUUUUUGAAAGUGAUGCUAAGAAGUCAAAGGACCAUGUGAGGGCUGGGUGACUGGAUAAACAGCCCGCGGUGGAGACACACAACAGAGUGCUGUCCUGCAACUAAGAAGGCAGACAUGCCUUUGUAAGAAAAUGAAUGAACUGAAGGUUAUCAUGCUAAGCAAAUUAAACCAGAAUCAGAAAAAAAAGUG